rnacentral:rRNA from 1 species
UAAGGAAUAUUGGUCAAUGGACGCAAGUCUGAACCAGCCAUGCCGCGUGGAGGAUUAAGGCCCUCUGGGUUGUAAACUCCUUUUAUCUGGGAAGAAAUGUACUUUUUCUUGAGUACUUGACGGUACCAGAGGAAUAAGCACCGGCUAACUCCGUGCCAGCAGCCGCGGUAAUACGAAGGGUGCAAGCGUUAUCCGGAUUCACUGGGUUUAAAGGGUGCGUAGGUGGGCAGGUAAGUCAGUGGUGAAAUCUCCGGGCUUAACCCGGAAACUGCCGUUGAUACUAUGUGUCUUGAAUAUUGUGGAGGUAAGCGGAAUAUGUCAUGUAGCGGUGAAAUGCUUAGAUAUGACAUAGAACACCAAUUGCGAAGGCAGCUUACUACACAAUCAUUGACGCUGAGGCACGAAAGCGUGGGGAUCAAACA